rnacentral:rRNA from 1 species
GUCCACGCUGUAAACGAUGGGAACUAGGUGUGAGAGGUUAGAUCCUCUCGUGCCGCCGCUAACGCAUUAAGUUCCCCGCCUGGGGAUUACGGCCGCAAGGUUAAAACUCAAAGGAAUUGACGGGGGCCCGCACAAGCGGUGGAGCAUGUGGUUCAAUUCGACGCAACGCGAAGAACCUUACCUGGGCUAGACAACGGUGGACCGCCCCAGAGAUGGGGCUUUCCCUUCGGGGACUGCCGGUUCAGGUGCUGCAUGGCUGUCGU